GUCACUUUUUUGACAUGUAGAGAAGAACUCAGAUUGGACAAAACAUAAAAAUUAUCCAAACAGAACAAAGCAUUUUCGUGGCACAAUAGUUAAAGUAACAAAAAUCCUGCCAAAAAUUUCUACUUUACACAUUUAUCCUCCUGCACCUAUUUUCUCUUUUUCCAAACCACUUGCACAAGGUAAUGGAGAAAAGUAUAUUGACCUGCCAAAAAUAAGCACUGAUUGUACAAGGUUCCCCUAUUGAUGGGCAAAGGAACACGGUCACUGCGUUGCCUGCAGUAAUUCCUUAAUAUAGUAUCCUUGGAGCUGUACACAUAAACAACCAAAAGAAGCAGAAAAAGGGUAAUGUUAAUAGCAUUGCCAGGUAAAAUCUACUUUUGCUGUCCCCAAAUAUCAUAAACUAUAAAAUUCCCAAUUUGAGGCCCUGUCAAGCAUAGAAAAUACUCAUGAAAAUGAAGUAAUAUACCUGAAGCAAGGUAAGAAUUAGGAUCACUUCAGAGUUCCAGAAAAGCAUGAAUUGUAAUCGAGGUUAGAAGGUUGCAAGUUUGAGCAUAUGAAAAUCCCAG
rnacentral:misc_RNA from 1 species